rnacentral:rRNA from 1 species
CCUACGGGAGGCAGCAGUGGGGAAUAUUGCGCAAUGGGCGAAAGCCUGACGCAGCGACGCCGCGUGAGGGAUGAAGGUCUUCGGAUCGUAAACCUCUGUCAGCAGGGAAGACCGGUCACUGUGCUAAUCAGCAGUGAAUUGACGGUACCUGCAAAGGAAGCACCGGCUAACUCCGUGCCAGCAGCCGCGGUAAUACGGAGGGUGCGAGCGUUAAUCGGAAUUACUGGGCGUAAAGCGCUCGUAGGCGGUCUGUCAAUUCAAGGGUGAAAUCCCCGCGCUCAACGUUGGAACUUCCUUGGAAACUGGCAAACUGGAGUUGGUGAGAGGAUAGUGGAAUUCCAGGGGUA